CGUCGCCUGCGGUGUUCGACAAGCGGGCCGGGUUACCUCUCGACCCUAAUUGAAACACCCAUGGGACACACGGGCUUGCCGGCAGAAUUGUGCAGGUCCGCCAUGAGCGGAAAGCCUUACCUGUCGCAGCCUGUCCCACUUGUUGCUCUGGCUCGAGAGCAACGGUUCGCACCGGCACAUGCGGGUGGCGC
rnacentral:other from 1 species